rnacentral:rRNA from 1 species
CCUACGGGUGGCAGCAGUGGGGAAUAUUGCGCAAUGGGCGAAAGCCUGACGCAGCGACGCCGCGUGAGGGAUGAAGGUCUUCGGAUCGGAAACCUCUGUCAGCAGGGAAGAACGGUCACGGGGCUAAGCAGCAGUGAAUGGACGGUACCAGCAAAGGAAGGACCGGCUAACUCCGGGCCAGCAGCCGAGGGAAGACGGAGGGUGCGAGCGUUAAUCGGAAUUAGUGGGCGUAAAGCGCGCGUAGGCGGUAUGUCAAGUCAAGGGUGAAAUCCCCGCGCUCAACGUGGGAACUGCCUUUGAAACUGGCAAACUGGAUUGUGUUAGAGGUUAGUGGAAUUCCAGGUGU